rnacentral:rRNA from 1 species
UACGAGGGGGGCGAGCGUUGUUCGGAAUUAUUGGGCGUAAAGGGUGCGUAGGCGGUUUGGUAAGUCUCGUGUGAAAUCUCUGGGCUCAACUCAGAGUCUGCACGAGAAACUGCCGGGCUUGAGUGUGGGAGAGGUGAGUGGAAUUUCCGGUGUAGCGGUGAAAUGCGUAGAUAUCGGGAGGAACACCUGUGGCGAAAGCGGCGCACUGGACCACAACUGACGCUGAUGCGCGAAAGCUAGGGGAGCAAACAGG